CCUACGGGAGGCAGCAGUGAGGAAUAUUGGUCAAUGGGCGCGAGCCUGAACCAGCCAAGUAGCGUGAAGGAUGAAUGCCCUACGGGUUGUAAACCUCUUUUAUAAAGGAAUAAAGUGAGGCACGUGUGCCUUUUUGUAUGUACUUUAUGAAUAAGGAUCGGCUAACUCCGUGCCAGCAGCCGCGGUAAUACGGAGGAUCCGAGCGUUAUCCGGAUUUAUUGGGUUUAAAGGUAGCGUAGAUGGGUUGUUAAGUCAGUUGUGAAAGUUUGCGGCUCAACCGUAGCAUUGCAAUUGAUACUGGCAGCCUUGAGUACAGUUGAGGUAGGCGGAAUUCGUGGUGUAGCGGUGAAAUGCUUAGAUAUCGCGAAGAACUCCGAUUGCGAAGGCAGCUUACUAAACUGCCACUGACAUUGAUGCUCGAAAGUGUGGGUAUCAAACAGGAUUAGAUACCCUAGUAGUC
rnacentral:rRNA from 1 species